AUACAAUGAUGUGACACCUCCUUAGCAGCUCCUUGUAUCUUUCCCAAGCUUCAUACAAUGACUCUCCUUCCUGCUGCACAAAAGAUGUAAUUUCUCUUCUCAGCUU